AAAACGGAGAGUUUGAUCCUGGCUCAGGAUGAACGCUGGCGGUAUGCUUAACACAUGCAAGUCGAACGGGAUGCUUAGGCAUCUAGUGGCGGACGGGUGAGUAACGCGUGAGAAUCUGGCUCCAGGUCGGGGAUAACAGUUGGAAACGACUGCUAAUACCGGAUGUGCCGAGAGGUGAAAGAUUUAUUGCCUGGAGAUGAGCUCGCGUCUGAUUAGCUAGUUGGUGGUGUAAGGGACCACCAAGGCGUCGAUCAGUAGCUGGUCUGAGAGGAUGAUCAGCCACACUGGGACUGAGACACGGCCCAGACUCCUACGGGAGGCAGCAGUGGGGAAUUUUCCGCAAUGGGCGAAAGCCUGACGGAGCAAUACCGCGUGAGGGAGGAAGGCUCUUGGGUCGUAAACCUCUUUUCUCAAGGAAGAAGAAAGUGACGGUACUUGAGGAAUAAGCAUCGGCUAACUCCGUGCCAGCAGCCGCGGUAAUACGGAGGAUGCAAGCGUUAUCCGGAAUGAUUGGGCGUAAAGGGUCUGCAGGUGGAACUGAAAGUCUGCUGUUAAAGAGUUUGGCUUAACCAAAUAAAAGCGGUGGAAACUACAGAACUAGAGUGCGGUAGGGGCAAAAGGAAUUCCUGGUGUAGCGGUGAAAUGCGUAGAUAUCAGGAAGAACACCGGUGGCGAAAGCGUUUUGCUAGACCGUAACUGACACUGAGGGACGAAAGCUAGGGGAGCGAAUGGGAUUAGAUACCCCAGUAGUCCUAGCCGUAAACGAUGGAUACUAGGCGUGGCUUGUAUCGACCCGAGCCGUGCCGGAGCUAACGCGUUAAGUAUCCCGCCUGGGGAGUACGCACGCAAGUGUGAAACUCAAAGGAAUUGACGGGGGCCCGCACAAGCGGUGGAGUAUGUGGUUUAAUUCGAUGCAACGCGAAGAACCUUACCAAGACUUGACAUCCUGCGAAU
rnacentral:rRNA from 6 species